rnacentral:rRNA from 1 species
GCACAAGCGGUGGAUGAUGUGGUUUAAUUCGAUGCAACGCGAAAAACCUUACCUACCUUUGACAUGUACGGAACUCGCCAGAGAUGGCUUGGUGCUCGAAAGAGAGCCGUAACACAGGCGCUGCAUGGCUGUCGUCAGCUCGUGUCGUGAGAUGUUGGGUUAAGUCCCGCAACGAGCGCAACCCUUGUCAUUAGUUGCUACAUUUGGUUGGGCACUCUAAUGAGACUGCCGGUGACAAACCGGAGGAAGGUGGUGAUGACGUCAAGUCCUCAUGGCCCUUAUAGGUAGGGCUACACACGUCAUACAAUGGAUGGUACAAAGGGUCGCCAACCCGCGAGGGGGAGCCAAUCCCAUAAAGCCAUUCGUAGUCCGGAUCGCAGUCUGCAACUCGACUGCGUGAAGUCGGAAUCGCUAGUAAUCGUGGAUCAGAAUGUCACGGUGAAUACGUUCCCGGGCCUUGUACACACCG